rnacentral:misc_RNA from 1 species
AAAAAAAUUCCAACAACCCACUUUACUUCCUCUCUAGCUCCUUCCCCUGCCUGCUUUCUCUGUUUAACAAAGAGACUUCAGCUUCAAUUCAUCAUAAUUUCCUUGCAUUUAUUCAAGAAAUUAACCUGAUCCAGAGCAAUGCAAAAGAUGGAUGGUAUAGAGAAAGUAGGAAGAGCUUCGAGUAGGCGAGCAAGCCACAACAUGAGCAGAAGCAUAAGCAGGAGCUUUAGCAGGAGCAUGGAAGAUGUAUUUUCAGGUGGCAGGUACUCUAGGAGAAGUAGCCGACAUGCUGAGGAAGAUGAAGAAGCUCUAAAAUGGGCUGCUAUAGAGAAGUUACCAACAUAUGAUAGGCUAAGAACAACUAUCAUGAAAUCUUUUGUGGAAAAUGAGCUCCAAGGAACCAAGAUGGUCCACAAAGAAGUUGAUGUCAGUAAGCUUGAUAUGAAUGAUAGGCAGAUGUUCAUCGAUAUGAUUUUUAAGGUUGCAGAGGAAGAUAAUGAGAAGUUCUUGAGAAAAUUUAGACAGAGAAUCGAUAAGGUUGGAAUUUCACUUCCAACUGUGGAAGUAAGGUUUGAGCAUUUAACUGUUGAAGCCGAUUGCCAAAUUGGAAGCAGAGCUCUUCCUACUCUUCCAAAUGUUGCCAGAAACCUUGCAGAAUCAGCCAUUGGCAUGCUUGGGAUUAAUAUGUCCAAGAGAACAAAGCUCACAAUUCUUAAAGAUGCCUCUGGGAGUCUAAAACCAUCAAGGAUGACUCUACUUUUAGGCCCGCCAUCCUCAGGGAAGACAACCCUUUUGUUAGCAUUGGCCGGAAAGUUGGACCCAAGUCUAAAGGUCAGUGGAGAUAUAACAUAUAAUGGGUAUAAGUUGAAUGAGUUUGUGCCUAGAAAGACAUCUGCAUACAUUAGCCAAAAUGAUGUUCAUGUUGGAGUAAUGACAGUGAAAGAAACCCUAGAUUUCUCAGCAAGAUGCCAAGGAGUUGGGACUCGACAUGAUCUCCUAAGCGAGCUUGCCAGAAGAGAAAAGGAAGCAGGAAUAUUCCCAGAGGCAGAAGUAGACCUUUUCAUGAAGGCAACUGCUAUGAAAGGAGCUGAAAGCAAUCUUUUUACAGACUACACUCUCAAACUGCUGGGGCUGGAUAUCUGCAAGGACACCAUUGUAGGAGAUGAAAUGCUCCGAGGGAUAUCGGGUGGACAGAAAAAGAGAGUAACAACAGGGGAGAUGAUUGUUGGGCCCACAAAAACCUUGUUCAUGGAUGAGAUAUCAACGGGUCUAGAUAGCUCCACAACAUUUCAGAUAGUGAAGUGCUUGCAGCAGAUUGUGCACCUUACAGAGGCCACAGUAUUGAUGUCCCUACUCCAGCCUGCCCCUGAGACAUUUGAUCUGUUUGAUGAUGUCAUCCUCUUAUCGGAAGGACGCAUUGUCUACCAAGGCCCACGACAGCACAUUCUUGAAUUCUUUGAGAGCUGUGGGUUCCGCUGUCCUGAUAGAAAGGGAACUGCUGAUUUCUUGCAAGAGGUUACUUCAAAGAAGGACCAAGAACAAUACUGGGCAGACAAAAAUAAACCAUACAGAUACGUUUCAGUCCCUGAAUUUGCAGAAAGGUUCAAGAGGUUUCAUGUGGGCAUGCAGCUAGACAACGAGCUCUCUGUGCCAUUUGACAAGUCCAAGGGCCAUAAAGCAGCUCUAGCAUUCUCAAAAUAUUCAGUUCCAAAAAUGGAUCUUCUCAAGGCCUGCUGGGAUAAGGAAUGGUUACUGAUUAAGAGAAAUUCUGUGGUUUUUGUCUCCAAGACAGUCCAAAUUAUUAUUGUUGCAAUUAUAGCAUCCACAGUGUUUAUAAAGCCCAGAAUGCAUACGCGAAAUGAAGCAGAUGGAGCAAUAUACGUUGGUGCUCUUUUGUUUACCAUGAUCAUUAACAUGUUUAAUGGUUUUGCUGAGCUCACUCUCAUGAUCUCAAGGCUUCCAGUGUUUUACAAGCAAAGGGACCUUCUCUUCCACCCACCUUGGACAUUCACUCUCCCAACUUUCCUGCUUACAUUGCCCAUGUCCAUAAUAGAGUCUAUCGUUUGGGUGUGCAUUACCUAUUACUCCAUAGGAUUUGCUCCUGAAGCUAGCAGGUUUUUCAAGCAUCUUCUACUGGUAUUUCUGACCCAACAAAUGGCUGCUGGGCUUUUUAGACUCAUUGCCGGAGUUUGCAGGACUAUGAUCAUUGCCAACACUGGUGGGGUGCUCAUUCUCCUCCUUAUUUUCUUACUUGGAGGCUUCAUCAUACCUAAAGGUCAAAUUCCAAACUGGUGGGAGUGGGCUUAUUGGGCUUCACCUCUGUCUUAUGGUUAUAAUGCCUAUACUGUGAAUGAAUUUUAUGCUCCAAGGUGGAUGAACAAACUGGUUUCAGACAAUACAAGAUUAGGUGAGGCAGUGCUCGAAAGCUUUGAUGUUUUCCGCAACAAGAACUGGUAUUGGAUUGGUGCCGGUGCUCUUCUAGGAUUUGCAGUUCUUUUCAACGUCCUCUUCACCUUUGCUCUCAUGUACUUGGCCCCUCCUGGAAAGAAACAAGCAAUAAUCUCUGAGGAAUCAGCAAAGGAAAUGGAGCGUGAGGAAGACUCGAAGGGUCAACCAAGACUAAGAAUGUCAAAGUCAAACCCUCAUUCGUUAUCUUCUGCUGAUGGAAAUAAUACAAGGGAAAUGGAAAUUCGGAGGAUGAGCAGCCGAUCCAAUCCCAAUGGACUCGGUAGAAAUGCUGAUUCAUCUCUUGAGGCAGCGAAUGGUGUAGCUCCUAAGAGAGGAAUGGUUCUUCCUUUCACUCCCCUAGCCAUAUCCUUUAACAGCGUGAACUACUACGUGGACAUGCCUGCUGAAAUGAAGCAGCAAGGAGUUCCGGAGGACAGGCUUCAACUUCUUCGGGAAGUAACAGGUGCAUUUAGGCCUGGAGUCCUGACAGCACUAAUGGGAGUCAGUGGAGCUGGAAAGACUACAUUGAUGGACGUUUUGGCAGGAAGAAAAACAGGCGGAUAUAUUGAAGGUGAUAUUAGAAUUUCAGGAUUCCUCAAGAAGCAAGAAACCUUUGCAAGAGUCUCUGGAUAUUGUGAACAGAAUGAUAUCCACUCACCUCAAGUCACAGUCAGAGAAUCCUUGAUCUACUCGGCAUUCCUCCGACUUCCCAAAGAAGUCAGCAAAGAGGAAAAAAUGAUUUUUGUUGAUGAAGUGAUGGAGUUGGUAGAGCUGGACAAUCUCAAGGAUGCUAUAGUUGGGCUUCCAGGAGUUACAGGGUUGUCAACAGAACAGAGAAAGAGGUUGACAAUUGCAGUGGAGCUUGUUGCUAAUCCUUCAAUCAUUUUCAUGGAUGAACCAACUUCUGGUCUUGAUGCAAGGGCAGCAGCAAUUGUUAUGAGAACUGUGAGAAACACUGUGGAUACCGGAAGAACUGUUGUAUGCACAAUCCAUCAGCCUAGCAUCGACAUCUUUGAAGCCUUCGAUGAGUUGCUACUGAUGAAGAGAGGAGGACAAGUGAUAUAUUCAGGACCAUUGGGUCGAAAUUCCCACAAAAUCAUUGAAUACUUUGAGGAAAUCCCUGGAGUUCCUAAAAUCAAAGAGAAGUACAAUCCAGCAACAUGGAUGCUAGAAGUGAGCUCAAUAGCAGCUGAAGUCCGGCUAGGAAUUGACUUUGCAGAACACUACAAGUCAUCAUCCCUCUAUCAGAGAAACAAGGCUUUAGUGAACGAAUUGAGCACGCCACCAGCAGGAGCAAAAGACCUGUAUUUUGCCUCUCAAUAUUCUCAGUCUCCAUGGGGGCAGCUCAAGUCAUGCCUUUGGAAGCAGUGGUGGACUUACUGGAGAAGUCCUGAUUAUAACCUUGUUAGAUAUUUCUUCACCUUGGCUGCUGCCCUUAUGGUUGGGACUAUAUUCUGGAAAGUUGGCACUAAAAAGGAUACCUCAAAUGACCUGAGUAUGAUCAUUGGGGCCAUGUACGCUGCUGUCUUGUUUAUUGGUAUCAACAACUGCUCAACAGUACAGCCAAUUAUAUCAGUUGAAAGAACUGUCUUUUAUCGGGAAAGAGCAGCUGGGAUGUACUCUGCAUUACCUUAUGCACUUGCACAGGUUAUUUGUGAAAUACCUUAUGUGCUGGUUCAAACUACAUAUUAUACACUAAUUGUGUAUGCUAUGGUAGCCUUUGAAUGGACAGCAGCCAAAUUCUUCUGGUUCUUCUUUAUCUCCUUCUUCUCCUUCCUCUACUUCACAUACUACGGAAUGAUGACAGUCUCCGUCACGCCAAACCUCCAAGUAGCAUCCAUUUUUGCAGCAACAUUCUAUGCACUCUUCAAUCUCUUCUCAGGCUUCUUCAUUCCUCGACCAAGAAUUCCCAAGUGGUGGGUCUGGUACUAUUGGAUUUGCCCAGUGGCAUGGACAGUGUAUGGACUAAUUGUCUCUCAAUACCGGGAUGCUGAAGACCCCCUUCUAGUUCCUGGCUUAUCUCCUAAUCCUUCAAUUAAGUCUUACAUACAAGAUCAUUAUGGGUAUGAUCCAGACUUCAUGGGACCAGUUGCAGUUGUAUUGGUUGGAUUCACAGUCUUCUUUGCAUUUGUGUAUGCCUUCGCUCUAAGGACACUGAACUUCCAGACAAGAUAGAGAAACUACCAUAAAUUAAACUGAACCUGUAGAUAUAUACUAUUAUAAAUACAGGACAAUAAGCCAUCACAAGGUCAAAGUAUUGGUGGCUAUUGUUUAAUGCUUGUAUUUGUCUUGUAGGAAUUAUGUUAUUUUCGAUUUAAUUAUGUAUGGUAUGUUACUUAGUGAAGAUAAUGAUGAUAAUUUUUGGCCUCUAGCUUUGAGAAGUGUAUUUGUACAUGUAAACGAUAUUUGAAUCCUAUAAAAUUCAAGAAAUUCAUUUGUGUGAAAA